GCGCUCAUAGCUCAGCUGGAUAGAGCACUUGGCUACGAACUAAGGGGUCGGGAGUUCGAAUCUCUCUGAGCGC
rnacentral:tRNA from 3 species